rnacentral:rRNA from 1 species
UACGUAGGGGGCAAGCGUUGUCCGGAUUUAUUGGGCGUAAAGAGCGUGUAGGCGGUUAGAUAGGUCUGCUGUGAAAACUCCAGGCUCAACCUCGAGACGCCGGUGGAAACUGCAAAGCUAGAGUCCGGAAGAGGAGAGUGGAAUUCCUGGUGUAGCGGUGAAAUGCGCAGAUAUCAGGAAGAACACCCGUGGCGAAGGCGGCUCUCUGGGACGGUACUGACGCUGAGACGCGAAAGCGUGGGGAGCGAACAGG